rnacentral:rRNA from 1 species
UUGAUUACGUCCCUGCCCUUUGUACACACCGCCCGUCGCUGCCCGGGACUGAACCAUUUCGAGAAACUUGGGGACCGCUGGCUUGGCAUCUUUCGGGAUGUUAAGUCGAUGGAAACCAAUUUAAUCGCAGUGGCUUGAACCGGGCAAAAGUCGUAACAAGGUAGCUGUAGGUGAACCUGCUGCUGGAUCAUU